rnacentral:rRNA from 1 species
UGGCGACGGGUGAGUAAUGUCUGGGAAACUGCCUGGUGGAGGGGGAUAACUACUGGAAACGGUAGCUAAUACCGCAUAACGUCGCAAGACCAAAGAGGGGGACCUUCGGGCCUCUUGCCAUCGGAUGUGCCCAGAUGGGAUUAGCUAGUAGGUGGGGUAACGGCUCACCUAGGCGACGAUCCCUAGCUGGUCUGAGAGGAUGACCAGCCACACUGGAACUGAGACACGGUCCAG